UAAGUGGGCCGUCUACGACGAUCGGCAACUCAGUUAGUCUGUCGGUUUGUACCUUAUUGGCUGUUUCAGCCUGUUUGUUUAGGAAAUAUUUGGCAAAUAUGCUAUAGUGUAAAAAGUGGCGAGUCACUCUUUCGUAUAAUUUUUCUCAACCGUCUGUCGCCUGCGGAUGGGAUGCUACUAGUGGACGUGAGCUGUCUACUAAAAGGGUACUGUUCUUAAUGAAUAAUUUCGAGCUGAAGUACACUGUUCCAUGCCUUGAUGGGCACAUGUUACUCAAGUAAGAGCAAGUCAGCCUCGCAGCCGUACUCCUCUGCUCCCAUGUCGGCAUCCUCUUCACAAGAUAGUGCGCUACGUCUACCACGAGCCACGCCUUACACAAGGGGGACUGUUGCUCCGAUAGAUACAUCGGAGGUAAACUUCAGACGUUGCAUUCCUCCCCCUACUAAAUACCGUGCCAACCCUUCUCAAUCUGGAAAUUUGCAAGGCAAAGCCAAUGUCACAGUGACAACAGACUUUGCAGACAGGAGCAGGAGAGCUGUUACUGACAAUGCUGAUGUGAACAACCCCAGCUUCAAUAACAACUUUGAGGAUGGAAGCUCAUCCCAAGAUUUCACAAACUUUAAAAAGGAUGCUGUCGAUAGUGGUACAUAUAAUGUAACGGACAGCUGCUCAUUGCAACUUAAAACAGAGGGGGCCAAGGUGUCUUCCGAGAACUCGGAACAGAUGCGCAUUCAGUAUGGCGCCACCAAAAUCCCAACUAAGAUUACAGCACACCUGAGUGGGCUCCCCAAACCUCAGGUUGCUGUUGUGACAACCAGAGUGCCACCUGUGCCGCAGAGGGCUACAAGUGAGAAGUUACAUGCAGCCGCUCGCAUGCCCAACCAACCAGUGGGAGAGGCUGCUGCUGCAGAAAAGCGGGCUGGUUGCCAGCACCGGGUGUCACCGGAUAAGGAAAGCAUUUCAGACAGGAGCCACAGCGGAGACAGCGGUAGCACCGACUACGACUCUGGUCUGGGCCACUCUCUGAGUGACCCACCUGCUGGCAGUGAGAGUGGCGGGAAGGCUCAGAGCAGCAGCACGACGCUACAGGUGGAGUCAUCGCCUGUUCUAAAGGAGGCCGUGGGUGUAGGAAAGGAGUUGGACUCGGCUGUGCUGCCCACAACGCUCCCUGUUGGAGCACAACUGACUACAGCCGAUGGAUCUGCCUCCAAGAUGGGUGUGUAUGACCAGCCGGACUCCUACGCGGCAUACCGGGGAAUCCUGUCUUAUCGGCGCAUCACCCCUAUAAAGAAGUAUUCAGAGACUCCUCAGUGGAAGCGGUCUGUUGAACCAAAGAUCACAAAGGGCUUCAGCAGCCCCACUCGGGCUGUCAUUGCCAAGGGAAUACUGACCAAGGGAGCCAAGGCAGCAAAGGAUUGCUCACCAGAGCAGAAGAGAGAGGGAGUUGCAAAAGGACCAUCAACGAUGUCAGCUCCACUCAGCCCCCCAAACAAGGAAGAGAAGAGUGGUGGGUUUCUCAGUCCCACAUCAGAUGGCUUCCUAAUCGAUGAUGACAUCUCCGAUCAGCCUGGUCUGAUUGCUCUCGAGCGGUCUAGAGGAAGAGGGGCACCAUCAGUCAAGAAGUCCAUCUUUGAACUGCAUGCUCUACAGUCAUUCAGUGGGCGACAGACUAAAGUUGACCGAACAUUGGAUGACCUCCACCCCUUAUGUUCUGAUGCUGGAUCGUCUUGUUCAAGCCUGGGUUCCGAUGACCUUAUGCUGGACUUUGAAACUCCAUGCAAGGAUUCCCCAGAAAUUGCAUCCAGUCCUGCUGUUAAAUAUGCUGGAACACAACUGAGAAGGGUGGCACGUCCAUCUGUUGCUUCACAAGCAGAAAAGAGGAACUCGUGGGACAGUAAUCACUCGGAUGAAGGGGCAGCCUUGCGCCGAGCUUCUGACUCACUUGCAUCUCGAUGGCCUCUGAAAACCCCAUCCAGUGCAACAGCAGCUGAAGCACGUCCGCGUACCGUCAGCUUGCCACUGCGGCCUCCUCGUCAGGUGGUGAUGCAAGAGUGUGAUGAUGGUGGUGUGAAGUUAGACUCAUCUUCAUACCGGUCAGUGUGCCAGGACCUCAAUGGACUCAAGACUAUGCUCCUCAAGCUACGCCGCAUACUACAGGAUGCUGAGACGCUAAAUCCCUUCGAAGUCUCAAACACUAAGAACUAUUUCUAUCAUGCGCUGGCUAGUACUGAUCUGCCCCAUGGUUUUACGCACACUCCAACUGGCGACACGCCUGAUUUCAACCCCAUUGAUCCCAAUGAUGUUUUGCAGGAAAAUAUGGACCUCAAGCGGCAACUCAUUCUAAUGCAGCAGCAGCUGGAAGACAAGGACCGCACAAUUCACCUUCUUCAGCAGCAGAUGACCAAAUACAUGGACAUUACAAACGUUGAAAAGGAUCCUGUUAAAGUCAAUGUUGCAGUACAGACAGAAAGGCCAAAAUUUCUUCAAAGCAUCUCAUCUUCGGAGGAGGGUUCUUCUCAGGGGCGUUUAGUCAGCUGCACACCUAUUGUUUCUGAUAUGAAGAAUGCCCUUGAAGAGCAUUUCAAGUCAAGUUCCAUUUGCCAUGCAGCUUUUCGCAACAAGAUUGAGGAUGUGUCCAAGAGUCUGAGCAACAUCACACAGGCUUUGCGGCUGCAUAGUUCAAAGCCACACCUGCCUAGCAGGUCUCAGUCAAGCUGGGAACUACUUUCGUGAUCUAACAGGUAGUUCCGUUGGUGCCACUUCAGCAGUCUGUGGUGUAUGUAUUUCCAGGGAUAUAUUUUCAAGAGGUCAUAUCUUUAUGUUCAUAUCUUUUACUAUUUCUGGAUUUUAUUUUGUUUCAGUGUGGUGUUUUCAUGUUGCAUUCAUGAAUUUGUUGUUGUAAAAUGUGCGGACACUAGGCUUGACUUACGGGACCCUUGCAGUUAGGUUUCAGCCAAAGAAAUUCUACUUUAUUUGAGUAUGAGCAGUGGUGAAAUUAAAAAAGAAAAACAAAGGCACUGAUGUCAAUCUACAUUACCUUUUAUUUGAACCCAAUUUCAAUGUUUCUGUUGCAGGAAACAUGAUUUAACAUAGCUCAUUGGGCAUUUGCCUAAUGUAGUAUUCUGCCCUGAGGCAUCAAAUGUGCAUUCACUGUGCCAGUCGUGCGUGGGUGCUUGGUACUUCAUGGGAGUGGACCAUUGUAGUGUAUUGCCUUUGUGUUAUGUUAAAGGGCUAUGUGAUGGUUAUGUAGCAUUUCUCAUUACAAAAGAGCCAGGUGUGUCAUGUUACACUACUUGACCAACAUUGGCUGUAUGUCUUAUGCAGCAAUACAGUACCGCAACCUUAGCUCUUCUUUUGCAGUUCUGUCAUGUCAUAAAAUUGACUUUUCAUUUAUUGCCUUUACUGUUCUGUCUUGCAAAAGGGGACAAGGUUUUGGGGGGAUUUACUAUGGCUGCUUGUUUUUGUUGGUUUUAUUUCUGUGAAGCCAUUUUUAUAUGUUAACUUCUGUCGGCAGAGUGCAGAUCAUUGUUGGUAUUCUUGCCACAUGCUGCCGUUAACCAGUAACUGUCACAGCAGCAGCAGCAGCUUCUCGUUUUGAGAAUGCACUUUGUGUGCUUCAAGCGACAUUUUUCAUUCCAGGGCAGCUUUUCUGCUACAAUUUUUUAUUGCUGCAAAUUUAAGGUUGAGCAGUUUAGACCAAGAUAAAAUACAUAAAUGUAGAGACAUUAUCGGUAUGAUGCCGUAAGCAGCUAAAUGUAAUCUUGGUUACUGAAAGUGUAAUAGCAGCAUGUGGUGGAUUUAUUUUCGAACAUACAAUAUGUAUAUCUUUUAUAAAGACUUAGGGGCAAACAAGCACGUUUGCUUUGAGUGGUUACGAAGCUUUUCGCUUUAUUUAGGUGGUCUAGUUCUUGAUGAACACGCUUGACAUAUCCGUCGUCAUGCAGUAACUUGCUGUUACUGUAAAGCGGCUAUGUUGUUUUUUUCUUUCUUGCAUGCCCCAUUGCUGGCAAGGUUAUAGUUGCUUGUUUUAUCCAUACCAGUGCACAGUGUACUACUCUUCAAAUCUAAAAAAGCAUGAGGUGAUGUGGAAUUUGUUUUGGCAGAGGCUAUGGCAUGUGUAGCUAAAAAAAUAUAUUCUGUGUUGGUAACAUGGUCCCAUGCUUAAUAUCUUAUGAGAUACCUUGAGAUGCAAUUAUAAGCAGCUUAUUCAUGUGACGCCGACUAGUAAUUUUUUUCUGUACAGGGCUGCAAUGUAUGCGUGUGCAAUUUAAAGUAGCAGCCCUGUUGUGUUGCAGCAUUUCACCUGACUAUUUGAAAAUCCUGCUCUAAUAUAGCUUGGUACGUUAUGUAUAUAUGCUGCACAUUUCCCCAGGUUUACUGUUCCAGUACAUGGUAAUACAUCACUGGUUUAUGUUUAUAUUCCACACAUUCUAAGUUCAUUGUUGUGUUCCAGCAUACUCAUAGGCUUGAAACUUUGUACAAUAUUUCUGUCUAGUACGCACAGAAAUCUCAUCCAAGUGUGUCGAUUUGUAAAUUCAGGUGUACUAUUUUAUUGAAAAUUGUUUUUGGGGGUAAGGCAGGUGGGUAGGCUAGAGAAGGGAAACACAUAAUUUAAGUUCAACUGAAUGUACCUAUUUCAUUUUCUUUUUUUCCUUCUUUUUUAUCAUUGCGCACAAUGCAGGGCUUUCAUGUUAGUGGCAUGAAUAUGCAGAAUGGUUACGGUUUUGUUUUUUCACCUUUUAUAGCAUAAUCAAACCUUUCUUUCUGAACACCUUUGCUAGGGUCAGCAAGGGAAAAGUACAGAUUUUUUAGUCAGCCUGUCAUUCAGGCCAUUGAGAGAUUGCAAAGUGAGCAAUGAGAUAUUACAUAGUAUUUUGUUAAAAUGUUCGUGUUCACCUCUGGUAGCUUUCAGUGUACUUACCACUUUCAAUGCAUUCCCUCCACAUACUAAAUAAAAGGCUGGCUUAUCUGCAAUGUGAUCCUAAUGUAUCAGAGGCAUACUUUCCACAAAAAAACUUAAGCCAUGAAGUCUGCAAAUUCAAGGUUCCUGUGUUAUUUUGUACAUACAGCUUUCUAUAUUCUCAUAAUCUAAUGGUUCACAUUGAAUUGACUUGCGAGCUUUUGCUGACAUCUUGCAGUAUGUUCCUGGAGUUUGACCUCUUGUUAUGGCAAAAUAAUUGGAUGUUAGGGAAACUGCAGCAAUAGUUCAGAGAAGGAAAAGAAUAAUUCUGUGCACUGAUUGUAAAUGACAUUGUUAGAGCGAUCAAAAAUAUUUAUGUGGUGUGGAAACAGUUCUCAGUAGUUUAUAAGCUAGCGAGAAUAACUGCUUAUGCUGUGGCUUUGGUAGAAGUAGUAGCAGCAUCUAGAAAGCAGUAUUGUUUUGCCAUAUUGGAACUUCGCAGUGGUGGUGGUGGUCAGGUACUGCAUAUUGCAUGCUUGAAGAAUUCAAGAGCUGAGCCUUGAGCUUUUAAUGCAUUGCUCUGGGGAUACAGUGCUGAAAGAAAUUGACCUCAUUGUUUCAGUGAUUUUCUGUACCCAGAUAGCAACAAAGCAGCCAAAUUGUUUCAGUAUUCCUAUUUUGCGUUCUUUGGUGAACUUGAGUCAGAAGUGUCAUGCUGCAGGGAUGCCAAGGUACAAGUAGUAUGCAGGGUGUUGCCACAGCAAGUGGAGGUACCUGUUUUGACAAAAAGGUGUCGCAACCGCAACCACGCUGGUGCCAUCAGCCUAGUUAAUAACUACACAAUUUAUUGGCUGACUUUUCCGUUGCGAGCUUCGUUGAGUCGUUGCAGUCACAGAAAUGGGGAGCGCCAGACCGCAUAGCGAGUGCCAUGCGAAGGCGUCUUCAGCUCUCCAGUUGUGUUGUGAAACGCCAACGCUGUUCUGAAACUUCAAGGCAGCUUGGAAUGGGAACACUGCCCACGAGUUAACGGCUCGCGUAAUUUUUGGCUUCCGCUUCACCUGCUAUCUGCACCACCUCCCCGAACGGCCGCGGUGUGGGUCUGACAGCCAUUGCUUAUCGCCCGCGGCUUGUGCACCGCUUGUUGCUGUUGUCCCCAGCGCUGCUCUGCACGAUAGAGCGGCUCCUAGCCUCCCUAGUGCAGUGCAGUGUCUGUUAGUGCGGGCCUAAAUUACGCGAGCUGUCGUGUAUGCAUUUCUGCUGUGUCGUAACUUCUCUUCGAGUAACAACCGAGAUGCCCCUGCGCCAAAGGCAGGCUUUAUUUUAAUGACUGCAAUGUAGAAAUUGAUAUAUGAGAAAGAGCAUGUGGAUCUCGCCCUGUUGACCUCGCUCUGUUUAAAUCGGUCUGCUAUAAGUACCAGCGUGGUCGUGUAUGUUGCGCUUGCCUUUUUUUCUUAAUAUAAAUGUAACCUUGACACUCUGCUGAAGCGCCAUGUAUGAAGCAUUUGUUCAUGUUCGGGUGUGCGGAUUUUUGCACCUUCACGAUGACACACACGCUUUGGUGGUCAGCUUUGUUCUCAAUUCUUUUAUUUUUUGUCGGUGUAAAUAAAGAGAAGCAUUUCCUUGAA
rnacentral:misc_RNA from 1 species